CUAGUUACUAAUAUAUAAAAGGGACUAGAGCUAGUUGCUCUUUGUCGACAUGCCCCUUCUGCUAGGGGUAUUUUUGUCUUUUCCAGUAUAGCUACACUUGGCAUUGAAUAUUCUACUGCUUAAUACAGUGCUUAUUACUUCUCACAUAGGAACCGCCAAUUUUUGGUAUUCUUCCUGGUAACUCCUCUGCAUCUGGCUGUGAGAUUUCUAUUUGAAGGUUCAACUCAAAAGAUAUGUUUGACAAACAUCUCAAUCUUGAAUAUUCAUCUUCUGCAAUCAUUUUGUGCCUCACUUCGGAGAGUGCCUUAAUUGUUUCUCCAUCGUUGCAUCAGACUGAUCUAUUAUUUAUGAAACAUGACACUAUCAAAGAAGAAUGGUACUUUCUUGUGCUAGGUAAAAUUUGUUGGGACUUGGGAGUAUGAAAAUCUUAUCUAUGUAAGUAUUUACUUUUAUACAAAGAAGUUUUCAUUCACUUAAGGAUAUACUUUCUUUGGGACUAUAUUACUUUUAACUGUCCCUCGUAGAAGGCACUGACAUUAUUUCCAAACGUAUGCCCCUGUUCUUAUGCAACUCUACCAGUGAUGUGAUGCAUUUUCCAGUGAACUCAAUGAUUUAAUGGUAACCAUUGCCUAA